rnacentral:rRNA from 1 species
CAGUCGCCGCGGGAACACAGAGGGUGCGAGCGUUAAUCGGAUUUACUGGGCGUAAAGCGUGCGUAGGCGGCUUCUUAAGUCGGAUGUGAAAUCCCUGAGCUUAACUUAGGAAUUGCAUUCGAUACUGGGAAGCUAGAGUAUGGGAGAGGAUGGUAGAAUUCCAGGUGUAGCGGUGAAAUGCGUAGAGAUCUGGAGGAAUACCGAUGGCGAAGGCAGCCAUCUGGCCUAAUACUGACGCUGAGGUACGAAAGCAUGGGGAGCAAACAGGAUUAGAUACCCCGGUAGUCCCUGUCUCUUAUAC